rnacentral:rRNA from 1 species
UAGCUAGUUGGUAGGGUAAAGGCCUACCAAGGCGACGAUCGGUAGCUGGUCUGAGAGGAUGACCAGCCACACUGGAACUGAGACACGGUCCAGACUCCUACGGGAGGCAGCAGUGGGGAAUAUUGGACAAUGGGGGCAACCCUGAUCCAGCAAUGCCGCGUGUGUGAAGAAGGCCUGAGGGUUGUAAAGCACUUUCAGUGGGGAGGAGGGUUUGAUGGUUAAGAGCUGUCAAAUUGGACGUUACCCACAGAAGAAGCACCGGCUAACUCCGUGCCAGCAGCCGCGGUAAUACGGAGGGUGCGAGCGUUAAUCGGAAUUACUGGGCGUAAAGAGUGCGUAGGUGGUUUAUUAAGUUAUCUGUGAAAUCCCUGGGCUCAACCUGGGCAGGUCAGAUAAGACUGGUAGACUCGAGUAUGGGAGAGGGUAGUGGAAUUUCCGGUGUAGCGGUGAAAUGCGUAGAUAUCGGAAGGAACACCAGUGGCGAAGGCGGCUACCUGGCCUAAUACUGACACUGAGGCACGAAAGCGUGGGGAGCAAACAGGAUUAGAUACCCUGGUAGUCCACGCCGUAAACGAUGUCAACUAGCUGUUGGAUAUAUGAAUAUAUUUAGUGGCGA